CAAUUUACGUACAAUCUGCAACGUUUUCAUUAUUAACAACACUUCACCGGAAAUGACUACAUAUGAAGGAAGUGGGGUAUUGAAAAUGUGUUCAACGACAUCAAAAUGUCCUUUAAAGGGGAAGUUCCAAUCACAAGGAACAAUACUAUAAAAGAUCAAAUGACUUAAAAUAAAAGUAUAAUGUAACUGUGCUGAUCAAUGUUAUAAAAAUCUAAUUCAGUUCAAAGCCAAUCUUUAUUUUAAUUGUAAAAUAUAGUCAUCCCAACAUUGAAUGAGGAAUCAGAAUGUUGUUACAAAGGAAUGUAAGAAACCCAUCAGAUUUACAUCAAAACGCAGUUUAUUGGACCACAGAACAACUAACGUUACUGUGGAAGAACUCGACUAACCCAACUGCAAAGAAGUCUUUAUCUUACCAUAACCAAACACACAGUUACACAUAUGGCAAAUAUUUUAGAGAUGAUGCAAUUUCCUUCAGUUUCUCAAUUCUUUAAUAUUAUUGUGCUGUAUCAACAGCCAGAAACCCAAUUACAGAUACAGCACAAUACAUUGUAAAGUAAUAAAACUCAUAACAAAGUGACAACAUGUCCAGGACAACCUGGAUGCUAAGAAAAUGUCUUAUUAAUUUUUAUACAUGUCCUAUCUAUUAAGUGCAAGAAGAGAAUCUAAUUUUACUACUUCCACUGCAUGAGUUGCAGCAAAGGAUUAAACAGUGAAAGGUAAAGACCAGUGUAGGCCACUGAAUCAGGCUAUGAAUGCCUCCUUCUAAGUGCUUACCAGACAUGACCAUCUACCCAUUUCAUAUGAAGAGUGACUAAAAACAGAGAAAUUCCUGACAAUGAACAGGACAAAUAGUGCUCUGGUAAAUGUUCAUACUUGGGUAUUGGAACAAAGCACUCCAUGAAUCUAAAUGUAAUACAGUUGGCUAUAAUCUGUAUAUAAUUUAAGGAUAUGCAAAAAUAAUAACCUAAGAACAUCAAAGUGUGCAUAAGCAUUUUAUUCUUGGUACCAUUCAAUAUCAAAUGGUAAAAAGUGUUAGUAAUGAAGACAGAACAGUAUACUUAAUUACAAAUUCACCACACCAAAGUUUAAACAUCACUGUAACUAUAUGAUACAUGUAAAUGGCAUAAAAAGAAAAUGCACUGAAUAAAAUAUCUUAACAUUCUGUUCACUGA